rnacentral:rRNA from 1 species
CUUACCACAAAAACGCCCGGGAACUACGAGCUCUAGCUUAAAACCCAAAGGACUUGACGGUGUCCCACCCAACUAGAGGAGCCUGUCCUAUAAUCGAUGGUCCCCGAUAUACCCAACCUUUUCUUGCUCAUCAGUCUGUAUACCUCCGUCGCAAAUCUACCAUAUGAAUGUACAUAGUUCGGUUCAACGAUCACUUCAUCAGAACGUCAGGUCAAGGUGCAACCUAUGAAAAGGCAAGUGAUGGGCUACAAUUUCUAACCUAGAACAAACGAAAUGCUGAAUGAAACACGGGCAUGAAGGAGGAUUUAGAAGUAAAGAGA